CCUACGGGAGGCAGCAGUGAGGAAUAUUGGACAAUGGGCGCAAGCCUGAUCCAGCCAUACCGCGUGUGUGAAGAAGGCCUUCGGGUUGUAAAGCACUUUAAGCAGGGAGAAAAAGUUAUAAGUUAAUACCUUAUAACCGUGAUGUUACCUGCAGAAUAAGCACCGGCUAAUUCCGUGCCAGCAGCCGCGGUAAU
rnacentral:rRNA from 1 species